CUUCUGUGCACGAAUUUACCAUUUUUUUCGUGUAAAUUUCGUAUAAUCGUCAAUUUUUUUUCAAUCGGUCUGUGUUGUUGUGAAAAUAUGGCACGCAGGUAAUUAAAGUUCGUGUUUUGAAGCCGAAGUUUAACGAUUGUCACCUGUUUGUCAACAAUCGACAAAAAAUCAACAAAAAAGCAUGGAAAUUGAGCACGUGUUUUACAUGUAAAUUCAGAUAAUAGUUUAUUUUAAGGACAUCCAUGCGUAUUGUGAUCACCGGAUUUUUACGAGAUGGGUCACACGGAGGUCACUUUGCAUACGGAAAAUAUGUCGGG
rnacentral:lncRNA from 1 species